CACGUAGGAGACGAGCGUUAUCCGGAUUUACUGGGCGUAAAGCGCGUGCAGGCGGUUCGGCAAGUUGGAUGUGAAAGCUCCCGGCUUAACUGGGAGAGGUCGUUCAAUACUACCGGACUUGAGAGUGGUAGAGGGAGGUGGAAUUCCGGGUGUAGUGGUGAAAUGCGUAGAUAUCCGGAGGAACACCAGUGGCGAAAGCGGCCUCCUGGACCACUUCUGACGCUCAGACGCGAAAGCUAGGGUAGCGAACGGGAUUAGAUACCCCCGUAGUCC
rnacentral:rRNA from 1 species